GGCCAGACUCCUACGGGAGGCAGCAGUGAGGAAUAUUGGUCAAUGGGCGGAAGCCUGAACCAGCCAAGUCGCGUGAGGGAAGAAGGCCCUGCGGGUCGCAGACCUCUUUGGACGGGGAGCAAGGCCGCCGACGUGUCGGCGGAAGGAGAGUACCCGUAGAACAAGCAUCGGCUAACUCCGUGCCAGCAGCCGCGGUAAUACGUAGGGGGCAAGCGUUAUCCGGAAUUACUGGGUGUAAAGGGAGCGUAGACGGUAAUGCAAGUCUGGAGUGAAAGGCGGGGGCCCAACCCCCGGACUGCUCUGGAAACUGUGUAACUGGAGUGCAGGAGAGGCAGGCGGAAUUCCUAGUGUAGCGGUGAAAUGCGUAGAUAUUAGGAGGAACACCAGUGGCGAAGGCGGCCUGCUGGACUGUAACUGACGUUGAGGCUCGAAAGCGUGGGGAGCAAACAGGAUUAGAUACCCGUGUA
rnacentral:rRNA from 1 species